rnacentral:rRNA from 1 species
CCUACGGGAGGCAGCAGUGAGGAAUAUUGGUCAAUGGCCGGAAGGCUGAACCAGCCAAGUCGCGUGAGGGAAUAAGGCCCUAUGGGUCGUAAACCUCUUUUGUCAGGGAGCAAAGGCGUCCACGUGUGGACGAGAGGAGAGUACCUGAAGAAAAAGCAUCGGCUAACUACGUGCCAGCAGCCGCGGUAAUACGUAGGUGGCAAGCGUUGUCCGGAUUUACUGGGUGUAAAGGGCGUGCAGCCGGAGAGACAAGUCAGAUGUGAAAUCCACGGGCUCAACCCGUGAACUGCAUUUGAAACUGUUUCCCUUGAGUGUCGGAGAGGUAAUCGGAAUUCCUUGUGUAGCGGUGAAAUGCGUAGAUAUAAGGAAGAACACCAGUGGCGAAGGCGGAUUACUGGACGAUAACUGACGGUGAGGCGCGAAAGCGUGGGGAGCAAACAGGAUUAGAUACCCCUGUAGUC